CGAGCGAGAAAGAGGGGCAACCUUGAGUACAGCGGCGUACGGGUGAGUAACACGUAGGUAUCCACCUCUUAGUGGGGAAUAACUUUGGGAAACUAAAGCUAAUACCGCAUAAGUCCGAGAGGAGAAAGCAGCAAUGCGCUGAGAGAGGAGCCUGCGGCCGAUUAGCUAGAUGGUGAGGUAAUGGCUCACCAUGGCGACGAUCGGUAGCCGGCCUGAGAGGGCACACGGCCACACUGGCACUGAAACACGGGCCAGACUCCUACGGGAGGCAGCAGUGGGGAAUCUUGCACAAUGGAGGAAACUCUGAUGCAGCGACGCCGCGUGGACGACGAAGCCCUUCGGGGUGUAAAGUCCUUUCGACCGGAACGAUAAUGACGGUACCGGUGGAAGAAGCUGCGGCUAACUACGUGCCAGCAGCCGCGGUAAUACGUAGGCAGCAAGCGUUGUUCGGAAUUACUGGGCGUAAAGAGUUCGUAGGCGGUGCGGCAAGUUUGGUGUGAAAUCUCCCGGCUCAACUGGGAGGGUGCGCCGAAUAAUGCCGUGCUAGAGUAUAGGAGAGGUAAGCGG
rnacentral:rRNA from 1 species